CCGGCCCGGCUCCGGCACGGCCGGGCCCUGCGGGGAGCGCUGAGGGCGGGCGGCAACAAGCUGUAAAAACAAUCCUUCCAGCAGGCCAGGAAAGAGCAAGAGUCCACAGGGUUUAAAAAAAGUGACAGGAAAAAUCCAUGGAAGAGAAAUCUCUUGAGGCUGUGAAAUAGAAAGACACCACCCUCUGAAGCUCCUGAAGUUUCAUAGCAUACUUUCCUUGAUUUUUAUGCUCUUCCCUGACAUCUGCUCUUGGUCAUUCUUGGUGAGAAAGGAAGAUUAAAAGAUUAGUUUUUGCUACAUUUGGCCUCAUCUGGAUUUUGUGAUAUUAAAGGCUGCCAGAUCUCCCGACUGGGUGAAGAGAACAUCAGAAGAGACUCUUCCUGAACCUCACCAAGCAGUGUGGCCUCAUAAUUUGGCUGUCCAGGCUGAAUGUCUCAAGGAAAGGCUCGUGCGCUAAGAGGAAAUAGUCCAGGUAGAUGCAGAAGACCUAAUUAUGGUCAACCUAACUGCCAGAAAUGGAGGAGUUGCUGUCAAAGUUGUUACAGCUACCUUCUGCAAGUAAGUAACUUUGCUGGAAGUGAAAAAGUGAUUGGCAGUGUCUCUGAGCGGCAUCACAGCGGCUCUAACUAGACAAACAGAAGAACUGUCAGACUGUAACGGUGGCCAGUGAGGAGGGGAGCUGAGAACGGUCAUGGAGGAUCAGUAGGAAAGCAUGGUGGGAUUAAUACAACCUGGAGACAUGGCCUAAACCUGCUGAUAACAUCAGAUUCAUAGUCACUGCCAGCUCACUCUCACUGCUGAUAUGCAGCAAGUGCAGAACAGCACUGAAAAUUGAAGUACUUAUCACUUUUAUUAAGUAAUGUGAGUCAAGACAUUUUUUAAUUGUGCACCACUUGCACAAAUUAUGAGGCAAUGUAUCAAUAAUAAUAUACUAUUUGGAAUAGUUGGAUUAAAAAUAUUUUAUUUGCAACUCCAUAAGGCUGCUGUUGUUUCUUAGUGAUUAAUGCAUGUAUUUUUAGUCCACACUGAGAAUUUAUAUACUUCUG